GGGAAGCAAGAACCAUCUCGCUACGCGGCCUCACCUUCGCCCCCAAACUGUCGCCCUCGUCUCCGGCCAUGGAGAACGACGAUCUUUCCAUCAAGAGUCGAGUGGGAAGAAGGAUCUCUCCCGAUCUGCCGCCUCUCUUUCCCCUUUCCGUUGCUCUCGUCUCCGGCCAUGGUGAAUUGCGAGCCGGAGAAGCAGUCCCUCUCCCUAACACGUGAUUUCGCCGCCGGGAGAUCUAAGAAGGUUUCGGAUAGCAAGAACCGGUCCUUGGAGGUCCAGAUCGUUCAAGAUGCCAUGAAUGGUAAUCCUGAGAGCCGUGUGAAUCAGAAAUUAAGGUUUCUUGAUCUCAACAAGAUUUUUGGAUCUCCCGAUCGAUCUGUAUGCCAUGGAUGCAGAUAUUGAGAGAGCUGAGACAAGCGGUUGAAGGAGAUGGCCGAGCUAGAUCUCGGCGACAUCCCGGUCUAGAUUUCCGCAAGUCCAAGCUCAGGAGUUUACGGCUUUUCUUCUGUCCUCUUUAUACUUACCUCAUCACAAUCUGUGAAUUGAGCAGGUAUUUUUCUCUAUCUUAUUUUAACUAUUAUAGUCGGAUUAAACAUUUCAAUUCUAUAUGUCUGUUCAUUUUUUGGUGCAUUAAACUUACAUCAAUUUGAUAUCGGAGUCCUCUAUCCUAUAUCAAUUGGUAUCGAAGCUGAUUCCAUCUUGCGUCACAUACAUUUAAGCAAAAAGCAUUUGGAAAAACACCUGCAUGGAUGAACAAUAUUUCCUCUUGUCCAGCGAGAUAUUUGGAGCAGGACAUGGGAGAGAUCGUUUUGUGCAUAUCUCUGGAGAACCCUUUGAUCGAUUCAUUUCACAACCUGAUUCUAAUCCUAUCGCCCUUCGAUCGAUUCAUUUCACAACCUGAUUCUAAUCCUAUCGCCCUUCGAUCGAUUCAUUUCACAACCUGAUUCUAAUCCCAUCGUCCAUAUUGGGAGGAAUUGCGUACAGUUCUCCAUCUCCAAAUGCCCACUACCAUUAUAGCAGACUUUAAUUGCAUUUUCUCGUACAAGGACAAAGGAGGGGGACUGAGAGGUUACUGAAUUCAGGGAGUUCAUGCAAACCAACCCUUCGGCAAUUGCAGCAGGAGCAGGGCGAAGCAAUUUUCUUAGGGAACAGGGAUAGAUGGGUUUCUCCUCCUCACCCCUCCUCAAUAGAUUUCAAAUUUAUUCUUCUUAAUAACUUUUUAAUGUAAAUAAUGCUUUUAAAUAUAGUUUUCUUAUGAUAAAGUUUCCAACCAGUUUGAGCUAUUCCCAGCACAUGACACGCCAAGACUAGUCUACUUCAAACGAUUUAAUAUUAGCUAUGCAUGAAGCGCUAUUCUCUAAUAUUUAUAUCCCCCGAGGGUUUAUCUUGAAUAAUACUUCAUGAAAUAUGCUCGGAAGAAAUAGCAGAGGAUUAGGACCAGUGCAUCAUCUACCAGGAUUUUAUAUUCCUUUGGGACUCUGAUUCUACUUUUGCAGCGUCUAGAACGAUAUUGGUAUCGUGGGUGCCCCCACCCCCUGACUUUCUCAAGAUGAACUUCGAUGGAAGUAUAGCAGAAGACGGGAACUACGGAGGUGUGGGAUUUGUUAUCAGGAAUUACGACGCCAGACUCGUGACGGCAGAUGGGCGGAGGAUUUUUGACUUGUCAGUAGUGAUCGCUGAGCUUUGGAUUGCCUGGGAGGGUGUCUCCUAUGCGAGGCGGGAACUAGGUGCAGGUCAUAUCCUCCUCGAGGAGGAUUCGACCACGGUGAUUGAGUGGAUCCAGAGAAGGAGGUGCUCUGUCGAGAACUGACUGCUGCUCCACGAUAUUCGCCGAGCACUGGAGGAGGCUGACUUCUACCAGGCCACGCACGUAUAUCGAAAGGCGAAUGGUGCUGCAAACUGGAUUGCUUCCUUCGCGGCUCAUCACUCGAAUUUUUUUUGGCUCGGCCACGAAGUUGUGCCUAUGCCUUUGCGCAGUAUUUUGUUUUUGGAUUUUGUUGGCUGUUUUCACACUCGUCAAAUGUGAGCCACCGAUAUAACAAAAAAAAAUAAUUUGCUGACGUAUUUCAUGGCAAUAAGGAAUUAAAAACUUUCUUAAUAGCUUUCUUGGCAGCAGCAAUGCAAGAAAUCUAUAUUAUUUUGGGUAAAAAUUGCAACAAAUCUUUUUUUUUGCAAAAUAGUAUGAUUAUCAUUUACUAAAAAUAUUAAAAAUAUUAAGGGGUUGGAGGAUGGUAAGGAUUAAUUAAACAUUCAUUUGAAAAUAAUAAAAGAGCUAAUAGCAGAUUAGGUAAUAGAGGGGUUAAAAUAAGAGCAUAAAAGAUGACGCCAAACCUCUUACACCGUAUGUCUAGUGUGUGGGCAAGUUCACGAACAGAAUUUUAACAAAAAAAUAUAAAGGAGAAGUCAAUAAAUAGUAUUGAAAUGUGAAAAUAUUGGUAAGAAGUGUUUUUAUGGCAUCUUAGGUGUGAGAAUUGGUAUGGAUACAUGUUUAGCC